ACGUAGGAGACAAACGUUAUCCGGAGUUACUGGGCGUAAAGGGCGCGUAGGCGGCCACUGCAAGUCAGUUGUGAAAUCUCCGGGCUUAACUCGGAACGGUCAAUUGAUACUGCAGGGCUAGAGUGCAGAAGGGGCAACUGGAAUUCUCGGUGUAGCGGUGAAAUGCGUAGAUAUCGAGAGGAACACCUGCGGCGAAGGCGGGUUGCUGGGCUGACACUGACGCUGCAGCGCGAAAGCCAGGGGAGCGAACGGGA
rnacentral:rRNA from 1 species